rnacentral:rRNA from 3 species
CCUGGCGGCGAUAGCGCGGUGGUCCCACCUGACCCCAUGCCGAACUCAGAAGUGAAACGCCGUAGCGCCGAUGGUAGUGUGGG